GUGGGUUGCAAAAGAAGUAGGUAGCUUAACCUCCGGGAGGGCGCUUACCACUUUGUGAUUCAUGACUGGGGUGAAGUCGUAACAAGGUAACCGUAGGGGAACCUGCGGUUGGAUCACCUCCUUACCU
rnacentral:rRNA from 1 species